AGGCAGCUGGUGUAAUGUGGGCAAUGGGAGUUGUAGUGGUGAGAUGAGCCUUUGGAUCCUGAGUCAUGUAUGCUACUGUCUGCAGUAGCAUUGCAGGUUGUUGUCACUCACAUCCCCAUAAACACAGUUUUCAGACUUGUCUGCUCUUGAUGGCAGUAGCACUAUGGCACUGCACAGAUAGAGGAGGGACCCCACUGUUCACACACAAGCCAAGCAUAAGGAUCACACCACCAGUGAAGGCAUAGUCACCACUUACAGCCCCAGACAGCCCUCUAGCUCAUCCACCUCAGCCUUUGUCAGCAGCAGCAGAAACUAUGCCUGCAGUGGUGUGCAAAUGUGCAGAAGAAGUCCCGUUCUCUUCACUGAAUCCCUCAAGGCUCUCAGACUAUCGUGGAUAUCUACAAAGCAUUUCUAUCAUUAGAUUCUAAUCCAGAACCACAUGAUUGACCUUGUAUGGCUGUUUCUGUGGAUGUUUGUUAAAUAAGAAUAUUGAGAGCCAAGGAAUUCUAUCAAGCAAAGAUGUUCUACUCAGGUUUAUGAACAGUUUUCCCCCUGUAUGGCUGUACUGUUUAUUCCACUGAGCCUGGCUGCAUCCUUCUGCUUUGAUUUAUAGGGAAGGCAGAAGUCAACACCUAAAAGAUGUGACUUUUAAAACAGUUGCCUAUAAUUUCAACUCGACUUUCUAUUACCAAAACACAUACUGCUGUGAAUCCUUAUUAUCAAGCGGCAAUUGAACAUCACAAAAAGGCCAGCAGAUAAAUAGGAGCCUAACAGAAUAUACUAUCUGAAACAUAAAGUGAUGGUGAAAAGAAUUUGCAUGCUUCUCUAUGGUCAGCACUGUCGUAUACAAGUUGUAAAGAGCCCUCAAGAAUAUAUUAAAGGGAAUGUAAAUAAAUCACAGUGUUUCUAGUGUGACGUAAUUAAUCUGUGCAACAGAGCCUGGGAUAGUCUUUAUUUCUCCCUUUCUGUUGAAGUCCAGUUUCUCAGUUUAUGGCUUCUGCUCCAGGUAAGCAGAUCUUGUCUUUGACUCUGCAGAUUCAUCUGUCUUUCCACAUUUUCGUAUGGCAGUUUGCCCUCCAAACUUAGUUUUCUGAUUAGUGAAAGAAAAAUGAAUUUCAGUUUUUUUAGGAUUGUUUUUAUCAUAAGAAAGUGACUGUUUGCAAACUCUUUUCAUGCUGGAUUUGAAACCAGAAGUAAAAUAAUACUUUUUAAUAUCUGUCCUUACAGUCUAUACAUUUUUAUUAAUGACUUGUGCCUUUUAGCAAUAUAGCUUCCAUCUAAAGAAAGUCAGUUGCGAUCUUCUGAUAACAAUAUUUUGACACUUAAAUUCUUUUAUGAAAAAAAUGAAACAAUUGUUGGUAGCUUCCUGUAAUAUUACUGUGUUAUCAUUUUUAUGUUUAUUUCUUACUGGCUUGUGAAGAAUUCCCUGAUAUUUAUUUUUAUUCAUGCUCUGAUGUGUCUUAGCACAUUUCUAAUUUAUUUAAAUUGCAGGUUAGUGAAAUAAUAAGUUUUAAGGUGGUUUCAUUCUGUAAAAAUCUGUGGAACAAUAGAUUGAAAGCAUAAAAUAGAGUGAAGAGAAUCAUGCCAUGUUCUACGGGGAGAUAUGUUUUACCCUUUAGCAGCAUAUUAGAAAUGCACGCUUUAGAAAUGGAGGCAAACUACACUGUACAUCCUCCCACACGACACAUUUCUCAGCCUUGAGCAGAAUUUUCCUCUUGGCAGAGAACUUUUUUGUGAUGGGAAAGCUCACGAGUUUAAUCUAUUUAUUAUUUUUCGUACUAACAGAAAUCAGCACACAUAAUUUUAAACUACAUUAAAAGAAUAAGCCAUUUGCUUUUCAGAAUGGUUUUAUUUGGCCAAGAUAUGUCAUAGUUCUCCAUAAAGUUUGUCAAUAUGUUUCAUAGAAUUUAAAAACAAACUAAAUGUACACCUAGAAUGGUUUUGUUUGGCCAAGAUACGUCAUAUUUCUUCAAGAAGUUUGCCAAUAUAUUUCAUUAGAAUUUAAAAACAAACUAAAUGUACACCUAGACUUAUCUAAAAAAUUGGAAUAUACAAUACUAAAUAUGAAGCCAGUUUCAAAGAUUUGUUAAAAACGCAAUAAAAAAGUAUUUUAUUUUGAACUAUAACAGCCAAGUAUUAAUUAUACUUUUGACUUUUGAAAUAUUCAGUGAUAUUUCUUAACAACAUGAAGAUAUACUGUUUUAAAAUCAAGCAAGACAAUACAUUUCAAGAGGUUAUCAGAAAAACAUUCUCACUGUAUCAGGUGAGAAUGUAGACACAAAAGUUUUACUAUUUUUUGCUUUGUUCAGGCACCUGGCAAGUAGAAAAAUUGCUACAUACAUAUUAAAUUAUAUUAAGUUAAUGUGUUUAUAAUUAAUAUAUUCAAUAUAUAUUUCUUUUGCUAACUUCUUCCAUUGUCCUCUUCACUUUUUAUACAUGGAAACUUCUUUAAAGCAUCACAAAUGAUCAGAAAAUUACAAUAUAAUUUGCAUGUGCUAUUCUUUUUGAGAUUGCUACAUCUCUUUUAGACAGAAAGUGUCCUUGAGUUAUCAACAUUGGAAACUAGCCUCAAGUUUUUCCUUAAUAUUAUUAAAAAUAAUAAAUUUAUAGCGCUACCGUGAAAACACCUUAGCUCUUCAGAGUAGAAGAACAGACAAGCUGCACAUCAAGGGAUACCUGUCAGCUAUUAAACUCCAUGGAAGUCAUCAUGAGGCUCAAACAUGGAAUUUACAGUUAUCUCCGAAAGAAUCAGUUAGAAAAUGGUGAACAGGGUUAAGCUUCUGGCAGUAUGAGGAGGAGGCAGUAAGUUGAGAGAGUGUGGGCCACAUAAAAUAUUUAGGCAGAUGAGAUGAUAAGCAACUUUUGAAAAAUAGUUAAAUAUUCUGAAUGUCUCAGAAAACUAUGAAAACUCAUUGAACUUGAUGGAUACCUUCAAGGCAGUCAUGAGAGAUGGGUUUGCAGUAACGUAUGUGAGCUGAGUAUCUGCCCUGCUGUCUUCAAAUGUUUACAUUCUGUAACAAACAGAAUUGUGACACAAUCUCUAGGGAUGGGUUGUAUGUGUGGAAACAAGAUUACCUGCCAGUUCCAUGGAAGAAAAUAUCAGAAUAUGAGCUAUUGAAAAUAAAGUUUUUACAUACCUGAAUCUGAAUAUCGUGAUUGAUAUUCAUAACUGCUAUAUUUAUUUAUGAGGUAAAUAUACAAUACGUUUGGUUCCUAUUUGCAUGUGUCCAAAACAUGUUGAAACAUUUUAUCACACUACCAAUAAUUAUGUCAGUUAAAAUUUCUAUUCUUUUUGGAGUUUUAUAAAACCUUUUCAUAAAUAUCUAAAUUUUAUAAAAUCCUUCUAAGAUGGUAACAUUGCUAUGUUUAAUUCAAUAGUUAAUAAACUAAAUGUACACUUCUUUUCAUGUGAAACAAGAAAAUGAGCUAGCGAACAGUAGUUUUCCCAAAUCUAUGUUUUAUUCAAUGUUACAAUAUAAUUGCUAAAGUUAAAAACAUGCUGCUUGAAGAAACAGUUUUAUUAUAAGGAACUGGAAUGAUCAAUAAGAACCUAACAGAUGUGAUGAAUCAAUUUAGUUCUCGUAAAAAGUCUGAGUCUGAGGGUGUUCCUUAAUUUGGAAGACUAAUAGAGAUUUAAUAUUCUAGCUUGAAAAAUUCACAACAGAGAGGGAACUUCCAACAUUGUUUCCUUACCUCUUUUUCUCUGUCUACUCCAUAUUUACCUUUUUGUUUUCAGAGAAAAUGUUGCUAUUUCUAUUGCUCAGUAUGUAGGAUACUUAAAACCCUGGACACUCUUCUGUUGAAGUUAGGACACGUAAGUGGACUUCUUUACACCCCUCUGCUUUCUAGAGUAGAGUCUGUACGGCAUCUCUCCUUGCAAGCACGUUACUUAUUCAGCAACCCUGAAUCUCAAAGGUUUAAGUAGAUGCAGAGUUUUUUAGGGUGAUCAGCUAUCUAUAAUGGUGAGAGAAGAGAAAGCCUUACUUAAACUUAUCAUCUAAGAUUUAUUCUCUAAAUAUUUAGAACACUGUGCAUUUGAGUAGAUUGUGUGCAUGUUCAGCUGUUAAAAUUGUACUAGGCUUGUGAUUCUGUUAUCAGUCCUUUUGUGUACAGCCGCAAGAGUUUGAAACACUAAAGGAGGCUGAGGCAAUGAUAAAUAUGAGCUCCAAGCCUCCACCCUAAACUCUGAAUAUAUUGUUUUAGUGUACUUUCCUUUAUCACUUAAGGACUACUAAGUUCUGUUCCUGUAAUGAAACUAUAUGUUGUAUUGGAAUUUGGCUGAAAUAGUACAAAUAAAUAAUGUGUUUUUCUCAGAGUUUACAUGAAUAAAAUGGAUUGCUUUAAUGCUAUUUAGAUAGUAUAUUGCUAAAUCUCUUCCAGAGGGUGAGAUCAAAUGGAUCCCACUUUAGUAAGUUAUAAUCACUCUUGAAUUCCUAGUAACUAUAGAAAGAACUGGUCCCCAAAACACUUUUUAAAAUGAUAUUAUAACUAAGAGAAAAUAAUUGGACUAAUUAAGACUUUUACAUUAGAAAUUAAAGACCUUAAAAUACUUAGCAGCUAUGAAGAAUCUUGGAAAAGGAUUGACCGAUUUCUCCCAUUUGGAAUGAGUGUAUUUAUGCAGUAAAAUUUCUUAGUGAAUUUAUAUAAAAAGUAUAAAAUACUAGAUAAUUAUUCAUAUUCAAUGAACUAUUAAUUUUUAUUUAAAGAGCCCACACAUUGCUUUUCUAAAAAUGAAAGAUUAUAGUAAAUUGUCUUCAUAUUAAUUAAAUAUGAAUUUAAUUCAUAUGAAUUAAAUAUAAUUAUGUGGUAUGAAUAAGAAAAGCCAUUAAUGAUACUGAAGAUAUUUUCUAGUAUACAUAAAGACAAAAAGUUACAAAUAAAAAAGGCAGUUGUUCAUGGAAAAAGAAAAUCUGUAAAUUAAAAGGCACAAUUAAACUGACAUGUCUUCUAGCAUCUUUCUGACAGGUAAUCUCACUGAUCUGAAUGCUGAUAUUUCCAAAUAUGGAAGCCCCAAGUUUAAGAACUAUGAAUAAUAAUAAUAACAACUUUAGAAUAAAUGUUUAUCUGACAAUGACAUUAGUAUAUUAAUUUCUGGAAAGAGAUAAUACACACAAAUAUAAAAUGUAAAAUUUAAUUAAAUUUGGAAUAUUAUGAAGCCAUUUAAAUGGGUUAUGUUACAACCCCCUUGUAGGACAGCAUAUAGUUAUUGAAGCAGUUUUUUUCAAAGUGUCUGUGAUAGUAUGCUGACAUGGUCUGGCUCUGUGUCCCCACUCAAAUCUCAUCUUGAAUUAGAAUCUGAAUGGUAAUUCCCUCAUGUUGGGGGAGGGACCUCAUGGGAGGUGAUUGGAUCAUGGGGGCACUUCCUUUAUGCUGUUCUCAGGACAGUAAGUGAGUUCAGAAAUGAUGGUUUUGUGAGGGGCUUUUCCCCUCUUUGCUCUGCAAUUCUCUCAUUCUUCUCCUUUCUGCUGCCACGUAAGGAAGAAUGUGUUUGCUUCCUCUUCCACCGUGAUUGUAAGUUUUCUGAGGCCUCCCAAGCCAUGCUGAGCCGUGAGUCAAUUAAACCUCUUUCCCUUAUAAAUCACCCAUUCUUAGGUCUUUCUUUAUCAGCAGCGUGAGAAUGAACUAAUACAGUAAAUUGGUACUAGUAGAGUGGGGUGCUGCUAUAAGAAUACUCAAAAAUAUGGAAGCAACCUUGGAACUAGGUAAUAGGCAGACAUUGGAACAGUUUGGAGGACUCAGAAGUCAAGAAAAACGUGAGAAAGUUUGGAACAUCCCAGAGACUUGUUGAAUGGCUCAGAAUGAAAUGAUGGUAGUGAUAUGGACAAUAAGGUCCAGGAUGAAGUGGCUUCAAAUGGAGAUGAGUGACUUGUUGGGAACUGGAGUAAAGGUCACUCUUGGUAUGAAAAGAGCCUGGUGGCAUUUUACCCUAGCCCUUGAGAUCUGUGGAACUUUGAUCUUGAGAGAAAUGAUUUAGGGUAUCUGGUGGAAGAAAUUUCUAAGUGGCAAAGUGUUCAAGAGGAAGCAAAGCAUAGAAGUGUGGAAAAUUUGCAACCCGACAAUGCAGUAGAAAAGAAAACCCCAUUUUCUGAAGAGAAAUUCAAGCCUGCUGCAGAAAUUUGCAUAAGUACAAAAGGAACAGAAUAUUAAUCACCAAGAUAAUGGGGAAAAUGUCUCCAGGGUAUUUCAGAGAUAUUCACAGCAGCCCCUUUCAUGCCAGGGCCAGGCCCAGGGCCCCCCUGCUGUGUGCAGCCUAGAGAUUUGGUGCCCUGCUUCCUAGCCACUCCAUCCAUGGCUAAAAGGGGCCAAGGUACAGCUCAGGCCAUUGCUUCAGAAGAUGUGAGCCCCAAGCCUUGGCAGCUUCCAUGUGCUGUAGGUCUUGUGGAUGCACAGAACUCAAGAAUUAAUGUUUAGGAACCUCCACCUAGAUUUCAGAGGUUGUAUAGAUGUCCAGGCAGAGGUUUGCUGCAUGGGUGGGGUCCUCAUGAAGAACUUCUGCUAGGGCAGUGCAGAAGGGAAAUGUGGGGUCGGAGCCCACACAGAGUCCCCAUUAGGGCACUGCUCAGUGGAGCUGUGGAAAGAGGGCCACCAUUCUGCAGACUCCAGAAUGGUAGAUCCACCAACAGCUUGCACCGUGUGCUUGGAAAAGCUGCAGACACUCAACACCAGCCUGUGAAAACUGCUGGGAGGGGUCUUUAUCCUGCAAAGUCACAAGGGGGGAGCUGCCCAAGGCUGUGGGAGCCCACUUUUUGCAUCAGCAUGACCUGCAUGUGAGACAUGGAGUCAAAGGAGAUGUUUUGGAACUUUAAGAUUUAAUUACUUUCUUGUUGGAUUUUGGACUUGCAUGGGGCCUGUAACCCCCUUUGUCUUGAACAAUUUCUCCCAUUUGGAAUGAGUGUAUUUAAUGAGUAUAUUUAAUUGAGGUACCAAUUUCUGUACCUCAAUUGCAUCUAGGAAGUAAAUAACUUGCUUUUGAUUUUACAGGCUCACAGGUGGAAGGGGCUUGUCUUGUCUCAAAUGAGACUUUGAACUUGGACUUUUGCUGGAAUUAGUUAAGACUUUGAGGGACUGUUGAAAAGGCAUGAGUGUGUUUUGAAAUGUGAAAGGGAUAUGAGAUUUGGGAGGGGCCAGGGGUGGAAUGUAUGGUCUGGCUCUGUGUAGCCACUCAAAUCUCAUUUUGAAUUAUAAUCCAAGUUGUAAUCCCCACAUGUUGGGAGAGGGACCCCAUGGGAAGUGAUUGAAAAAUGGGGGCAAUUCCCUCAUGCUGUCCUUGUGAUAGUGAGUGAGUUCUAAUGAGAUGUGAUAGUUUUGUGAGGGGAUUUUCCCACCUUAGCAUGGAAGUUCUCUCAUUCUUCCACUUCCUGCUGUCAUGUAAAGAAGGACAUGUUUGCUUCCACUUCUGCCAUGAUUGUAAGUUUCCUGAGGCCUCCCCAGCCAUGCUGAACUGUGAGUCAACUAAACCUCUUUCUUUAUAAAUUACCCAGUCUCAGAUAUGUCUUUAUUAGCAGCAUGAGAAUGGACUAACACACUUGCAUAAUGGGUAAUAAUUAAAAACUUCUUUCUUCCCUUUUUAAAUACAUGACUUUUAUUCUGUCUCAACCAAUUUGUCUCUUUACCUUGUAAGAGAUUAGGAUUAGGCAUGAAAAAAUGUGAAGAUAAAGUAUAAUAUUUAGCUGGUGACAUUCAAAAUUUUGGUGUAAAAAUCACAAGGCUAUUUUCUUGUGACAUAGUCUAAGUCUGCAGGCAUAUCACUCUAAAUACACCUGAUCUCAUUUGAUCUCAGAAGCUAAGCAGGGUCAGGUCUUGUUAGUACUUGGGUGGGAGAAACACUCUCUAAACUAUACUUCCUACUUUAGUUUUGUGGGCUGGGCAACAGAAUUGUAUGUAAUAAAACUAUUCAGAUAGGGAGAAGUAGAUGGAAAUUCCCUUUCCCUCCUGAAAUUUAUAGUGAAUAAAGGAGAAACAUAUAGGUGAAUCAGAAUCAAAUGUUUACAUGCAUACUCAUUUCUUUUCUGUGGAUUUUAGUUUGAGGUGCAGGUGGUAGAAAGAUGAAGGUAUUACAGAAUGCAUACCCCUCUGAUUAGGAGUUCUACAUAUACACUCUUCUGUGUCAAAAUGGGGAAGUCAAAGCCUAAUCAAGAAUAGAAACUUGCUGGUUAGAGAGAGAGAAAGACAGACAGACUAGCAAGUAUUCAGAAGCCUCUCCUUCUUUCAGGGCUGCAUGGCCACACUAAGUUGAGAGCCAGCAAAUUUGUUAUGGAGCCUACCAUUAUAAGACUUAUUAGCUACAAAGUUGACGUUAGUGGUGGACCACUGGGCCAGGAAGCUGAAGGGAGUACAUGGCAGGACCCAAGACCUACAGCCAGUAAACUCUGAGGGGGAAAAUAUUUGCAAUUAAAAGCUGAUCAUGGCAUCCUAGAAUUUGUCCUGAGCCAAAUAAAGAACGUAUUCACCAGUUGCAGAUGUCGGCAUCAGAGGCCAGCAAGACACUAUGUGUCUGGGCUGUGACUUUAAUGCUCCAAAAUAUUUAUUUGAUUUGACUUUUUAUAUAACUACCCCUUGUGCUUACUUAAUCACACUCUUCAAUGCAUGUCCUUUUUACUAUUAACCCCCCCAGCAUUUUUUCCCAACAUUUCCCACCUCUUGUCUCCAGUUCCUGGUAACCACAAUUCUGUGUUUCUGUGAGUUCAAUAUUAUUACAUCCCACAUAUCACUGAGAUCAGGCAGUAUUUAUUUGUCUUUCUGUACUUGGCUUAUUUCACUUAAUGGAAUGUCCUCUAGGUUCAUUUAUUUUGUAAAUGACAAGAUUUCCUUCAUUUUUAUGGCUGAAGAGUAUUCUAUUGUGUAUAUAUGCCACAUUUGGUUCAUCUGUUAAUAUGUCGAUGAACAGUUAGACUAAUUCCAUCUCGGCCAUGUUGAAGAAUGGUGAAAUGAACAUGGGAGUCUAGACAACUCUUCAACAUACUCACUUCAUUUCAUUUUGAUACAUAUCUAGUAGCAGAAUUGCUGGGUCAUAUGGUAAUUCUGUUUUUUAUUUUUUGAGGAACCCCCACUACUUUUAAACAUUAGAAAUAAAAAUAAUAUAAUUGGUUCUUGCAAGUUUUCUCUGCUACUGGAAAGACGGACUCUAAGUUGGAAGCAGUAGAAGGGGAGAAAACAGGAACAUAAUCAACCCUUAAAAACUAUUCACCACUCUCAAUAUGUUGGAUCUCCUGUCAUCUGUCUAGCCUUGUCUUUGAAAAAGUAAAAAUGUGUGCAAAAACCAUUUACUGCAGGCUUAAUACUGAACUGUCUUUGUGCUCACCGUCUCUUUUCUGUGUUAGUUUCUUUUUUCAAACCAUUUUAAUCUUUUUAAAAAUGCAUUUUAGAAAUGAUUUUUAUCUGAUUUUAUUUUUCUUCCCCUCUUUGUCUUAUAUUUCCUUUUCUCUUUUGAUGCUACUUAUAUCUGAUUUUAGUAUAAUUAGAUGUUCAUGUUUGAAAAUUCAGAAACUACCAAGUUACACAUAUCAAAAGAAAUCAAAUCACAGGAUAAAAGUAUUAAUUUUUUAAAUUUCAGCUCUUAUUUUAGAUACAGAGCAUACAUGUGCAGGUUUGUUGCAUGGAAAUAUUGCAUGAUGUUGAGGUUUGGGAUACGGAUCCCGCGUCCAGGCACUAAGCAUAGUUCUCAACAAGUGGUUUUCCAACCCAGGACUUCAUCUCUCCUCCCCGCUCUAGCAGUCUACAGUGUACAUUGUUCCCAUGUUUAUGUCCAUGUGUGCUCAGUGUUUAGCUCCCACUUAUAAAUAAGAACAUGUAGGCUUUGGUUUUCUAUUCCUGUGUUCUUUUAGGAUUAUGGCCUUCAACUGCAAAAUGAUUAAUAUUUUAAUAAGCUUCCAUCAAGUUCUCAUAUUUACCUGUGUGCAGUUCUAUAAACACAGGCAGUAACAUAUAUAUAUGUAUAUAUAUGUUUAUGUAUAAAUAUAUAAAUAUAUAAAAUAAAUACAUUUAUCUAUAUAUACAGUUAUACAUUUAUAUAUGUGUUUUGCAUCUAUGCCUAAUAUUUCAUUAUAUCUAUUCAUGAUUUUUCACAUAAAUUCUGAAGAUGUAAUUAUGUAAUUUGUUGAGAUAUUUUACAUUAAAGGUUCUAAAAAAAGAAAAAUGAAAACAACUCAAUUGAAUUCCUAUUGUAUGAUUAUCUUAAGAAGAAGGGACAUAGGCAUAACACCAGUUUGCUUGACUUAGCAUGAUGACCAUUUCUUAACUUUUUAAUUAAAAACCUAAUCAAGUUUUAUCAUGUUUUAAGGUUUUUAGAUAAUUUCACAUAGUGUGUCAAUUAUUCAAGGUAGUUGCUUGUAUGGAAAAGAAAGCAAGUUCCUUCUUGCCUACUUUUUACCCCCAACCUACUGCUAAAGGAAUAAGCAAUGAGAAUUUUUUUUUUCAGAGUCAAGGUUUAAAAAAAAAAAACAUUUGUCAAAUGCAUGCUUUAUAGCAGAUCAUUUUGUUUUCCUGCUUCUGCAAUGUGACAUAGAAAAAUGAGUGUUGGAUUAGAAAAGUCCCCUGGUAAUAGAAUGGUCUAUUUGUUUGGCUGAUUAGAAGCAGGAAAAAUAGAUAAACUAAGAAUUUAGGAAGGCAAAAUGGACCUCUGAUAACUGAGGUGAGAUAAACACUAAAGAAAACUGCCAAAAGACAAUUUUGACUCAAUAUAAACUAAAGAAAAAAGUGGUAACAAGAGAGACAAAACCUAACCUGGAAAAAUUUAGUCUACAAUAAGCUAAAUUAAUGAUUACCAAAAGUUAUUGAAUAAUGACCAUGAGCCAGAUACUAAGUCUGUCUUAUCUAUUGUCUGAUUUAAUUGCCACAGCAGCCCUAUGAUAUAGUGACUGUUAACCUAAAUUUACAGAUAAGAAAAUGAAGCCUAAGGGUAUUUUGCCCAAAAUCACUGCUAGCAUUUAGCAUACUGGGGUGGAAAUUGAGGUUUAACUGUGUUAGUAUGCAAUUGUCUCAGAUGCAAUAUUCUAUUUCCUUGUGAGGAGCAAUGAAGAGUUUCUAUCCCAGAAAAAGAUAAGUAGUGAUAAUGGUUAAAAACAAAAGUUACCUAUUUUUAUUUUACCUACCCUUAAAUAUUAAAGCACAUUUAAAUAUAAUUGCUUAAUAUACAUUUUGUUUUUUGAAAUUUAAAAAAUCUGUUCUAAAAGGCCAUACAUUUUCUCUUCUGAAAAGCAAGAAGAAUAUUGCUAUCUCACAGUGUUAAAGUAAAGAUGGAACGUGGAAAUGAAGGUAAAAUGCUAGCUAAGUAAGUGCAAUCCUGGCUCAUACACACUAAGCACUCACAAAAUAGUUAAUGAGGGUAUUGUUAUACUGGCUUUGACAAACCAAUGACUUAUUGCUGGAAUUGUUUCUGAUGUGCCUUAAGUGUUUAAAUUCUUAAAAUGGGCCUACUCCUGAAUGAAUCUGUGUGUCUUUUCAAAUGGUUCACAGUGAUAUAUUUUUAUUAUAUUCAAUUUUUGGAAAUGUUUCAGUUAUGUAUUUUUCUGUAUGAUAAUUUAAUUAUAAAAGCAUUUUCUUGAGGAAUUAUCUUGUUUUUGAAAACAUACAAGUAUAGCUGUGUUAUAUACAUAUAUUAAUAAUUUGAUUUAAGAAACUGAAUGCCUCUCAUGUGUCUUUCAGGGGAUGUUUACCUGAUUUUUGUGGUCAGUGAUAAAAGUUCUUAAGUCAUUAAAAUGUUAUUAAAUAUUAAAUAUCAUUAAAAUAUUUGUUGAGUCAUCAAGUAAUAAAGCAUUUAAUCUGAAUCAGGUGUUUAGUUGAUUUAUGGGAUUUCUUCAGGAAGAAUAGAUAACAAGAAGACAGCAAUUGAAAAUUCAAAAUGAAUUAAGAAAAAUCCACUUAGGAAAUAGAGAAAAGUAUAAUAAAAAAUAAAAAGUGGUAAAAAUGGCAGAGGUUAUAGUGACAAGCAAAAAAGGAAAGAACAAAAAUUAUGAUCGCAAAAAUUACUCAAAAAAAAGUAAUUAAAUAAGCCCCCAUUUAAAGAUGUGGUUUAGAUAAAGCCAAAAAAUCCUGAUAUUUAAAAAAUAGCUCUAUAAAAUGAAUACUUUGUAUGCAAGAUAUUGAAUAGUUAAUAAUUAUUCUAAAUAAGACUUCCUUCUAGGUCUCAAAUCUAAGGUUUCUGAUAUCUGCCAAUUCUGGUUUAACUAUUAAUAAAAAUAAAUGUGUCAAUUAUAAAUAUUAGAUAAUGUGUGGUAAUAGGUUGCUAGGUAAAAUACAGGGCUCUCAGGUUAAUGUAAAUUUCAGAUAAAUAACAAAUACUACGUUAUGUGAGUAAAUAUAGGAAUAUGUAAUUUAAGACAUACUUAAUUAAGUGUACUUUAGUUUUAUUUGCUAAGUCCAGCAACUCUAUGUAGGAGUUAUGCUUUACAAAAUAUUUAAGCAUAUAUUCAAUCCUUCACUAAUAGUCAAGAAUCUUUUUUUUUUUUUUUGAGAUAGAGUUUCACUCCUGGCUGGAGUGCAAUGGCAUGAUGUUGGCUCACUGCAACCUCCACCUCCUGGGUUCAAGCGAUUCUCCUGCCUCAGCCUCCCAAAUAACUGGGAUUACAGGUGCCCGCCACCACACCCGAGCUGAUUUUUGUAUUUUUAGUAGAGAUGGGGUUUCACCAUGUUGGCCAGGCUGGUCUUGAACUCCUGACCUCAAGUGAUCCAUCCGCCUUGGCCUCCAAAAGUGCUGGGAUCACAGGCGUGAGCCGCCACACCUAGACCUUAUUUUUUAUUUUUUGUUUAUUAAUUACAUUUUGACAUUUGAAAAUAAAUUGAGGCACCAUAUGUUAAAGGCGACAUAUUUAAGGGCACUAAAAUUUCACUUUACCAUAAAAUCUAAAUUAUAUUAGGAAACUGGUGUAUGAUAUAGUUCGAAGAAACACACUCAAAAACAGAGUUUGAAGCAAAAUUAGAUAAGCUGAAGUCAAUAAUGCUAUGAAUAUUAAAAGUCAAGUCAAAGAGGACCCAUAUUACAGGGAAACCAACAGAGAAAUCAAAUAUAUGAAAAGACAAUCAUUGACUGUCAAUAUUUGAGAUUCCAAACCACCCACAAGUUCCAAAGGGUGCUGUGAGAAAACUGAUUUAUUGUAUUGAAAUGAAAGUUCUGCACAUGUAUUCCAGUACUUAAAGUAUAAUAAAAUAAAAUAAAAUAAUCUCUGGACAGACGCUUCUCUUCUGGCAUUAUAGGCUCAGACGUAAGAACCACAGGGGUCAUGCAAACCUGGGGAGUAUUGCUCAGGCAGUUCCUUCCUACUCAUGGCUGGGCCGUCACUGCAUUAUUAAUCAAAGCUUGUUCAAUCAACGCUGUCUCCUGCCAACCUGUUUAAUACAAUCUGACACUUAAAAAAAAAAGAAAAGUUCAGAGCUCAGGCAGUCGAAGCAAAUGGGCAAAGUCAUUGCAGACCAAGAAAUGGAAUGAGCAGCAUGAGAAACAGGAAUCAAGUAAAGCCAAAUCUUGAAAAUUCUGGCCUGAAACCAAUCUCAGGAUAAUAGCCAACUACACUUCCAAGUGAAAACAUGAAGAUACAAUAAUUAGAUUUAAUUGCAAGAGUCUGAGCAGUAAAAUGGUUGUAGAAUUCUAAAGAAAAGGACCAGUUCUGACAAUGCCAGGAUUAAAGUUAAUAACUGAAAUGUACAUACAUAGAGGCUUACAUACAAAUAUGAAUACAAAAUUAUACUGGGAAUAUUAAAUAAUUAAAAAUUAAAGCAUAAAAAUAUGAGCUUUUGAAAAAAUGAAAAUAUAUAAACCAGUCCUUAAUUUUGAAAUACUUAUUUUGACAUCAGCUCUAUUCUGCAGUUUCCUAGAGAUAUAUUGGUCAGCAAAACAAAUAUAGACCCUGCUCCAUAGAGGCUACAGUUUUGCAUUUACAAACUGUAGUAAGUAUCAUGUAAGAAAAUUAUAGUGUUAACUGUUUGACUUAAACAUCUAUAAGGAGGUUGGAGAACAUUGCACUAAGGAGUUGACUGUGUGUGUGUGUGCUUGUGUGUGUGUGGCGUAGAUCAACAGAGGCUUGAUCAUAAAGCUCUUUAUAAGCCAUGCUAAGGAUUGUUAGACUUUGUCCUAGAACAAUGAAGGGCCUUUGGAGGAUGAUGGGGAAAAUUUACAUGGUCAUAUGGAGGUGAGAAUCAAAGCUGAGGAGUAAGAAUUUCACCAAAUGUCCAGUUUUGGUGUAGAAGUACAUCCAUGAAAACAUUAUAAUGGUUAUGUACUGAGAUGAGAUAUGUGCAUGUCUGACAUUAUUCUGAAGCCAUUGCUUUUAAUCAAUUACUUUUAUUGAGGAAGAAUGAGGCAAACCACCCUCAGAUAAUAGUCAGUAUUAUAGCCAAUGUGCAACUAUUGGUACAGCAGUAUUGGAAAUUUUGAAUUGUAUUGCUUUAACCAUGUCCACAUAAAAAAUGGCUUGCAGUAUUAGAAUAAAAAUGAUGAAAAAUAUAUAAACUAAAAAUAGAUUUUUUUCUUAAACACUUUUAGAAGCACUGGUG
rnacentral:lncRNA from 10 species